CCUGCGCUUAAUUGCGCGGCCAGUUCUUGAUUCUCUGCUAUCAGUUUUCUAUUUCUCAUCCUAAACACAAUGGAGUUUUUUCUCUAUGAACUACUUCCCUGGAGAGCUCGUCUCUCCAGUGGACAUAAACACAAACAAUAUUUUGUAUUAUGAAAAACUAUUAUACUAUAAAAUUUAAUAUUCAAAACUUUCAACAACGGAUCUCUUGGUUCUCGCAUCGAUGAAGAACGCAGCGAAUUGCGAUAUGUAUUGUGAAUUGCAGAUUUUCGUGAAUCAUCAAAUCUUUGAACGCACAUUGCGCCCUCUGGUAUUCCAGGGGGCAUGCCUGUUUGAGCGUCAUUUCUCUCUCAAACCUUUGGGUUUGGUAGUGAGUGAUACUCGUCUCGGGUUAACUUGAAAGUGGCUAGCCGUUGCCAUCUGCGUGAGCAGGGCUGCGUGUCAAGUCUAUGGACUCGACUCUUGCACAUCUACGUCUUAGGUUUGCGCCAAUUCGUGGUAAGCUUGGGUCAUAGAGACUCAUAGGUGUUAUAAAGACUCGCUGGUGUUUGUCUCCUUGAGGCAUACGGCUUUAACCAAAACUCUCAAAGUUUGACCUCAAAUCAGGUAGGAGUACCCGCUGAACUUAAGCAUAUCAUAA
rnacentral:rRNA from 1 species